rnacentral:rRNA from 1 species
UGGGGAAUAUUGCACAAUGGGCGCAAGCCUGAUGCAGCCAUGCCGCGUGUAUGAAGAAGGCCUUCGGGUUGUAAAGUACUUUCAGCGGGGAGGAAGGGAGUAAAGUUAAUACCUUUGCUCAUUGACGUUACCCGCAGAAGAAGCACCGGCUAACUCCGGGCAAGCAGCCGCGGUAAUACGGAGGGUGCAAGCGUUAAUCGGAAUUACUGGGCGUAAAGCGCACGCAGGCGGUUUGUUAAGUCAGAUGUGAAAUCCCCGGGCUCAACCUGGGAACUGCAUCUGAUACUGGCAAGCUUGAGUCUCGUAGAGGGGGGUAGAAUUCCAGGUGUAGCGGUGAAAUGCGUAGAGAUCUGGAGGAAUACCGGUGGCGAAGGCGGCCCCCUGGACGAAGACUGACGCUCAGGUGCGAAAGCGUGGGGAGCAAACAGG